rnacentral:rRNA from 1 species
AUGAUAGCCUACUUUGAAGAGAAAGCAAAAGCAGAUGCUGAUUUCUUCUACAGGAUAAGAUUGGACGAUGAUGACCGUGUCAGAAACAUGUAUUGGGUGGAUGGUGCUACAAUAAGGGCGUACAAACAUUUCCGUGAUUGCAUAUCAUUCGACGCGACAUAUCUCAUUAAUAUGUACAAGAUGCCCUGCGCUCCAUUCAUAGGAAUAAAUAACCACAAUCAGUUAUUGCUGUUCGGUUGCGGACUCGUUCGGAAUGAAGAUAUGGAUGGUUACACUUGUCUGAUCAAAACCUUCUUGGAGUGCAUGGAUGAACUUGCUCUGAUGAACAUAAUAACAUACCAGGAUUUUAGCAUGCGUGUAGGCAUAUGGGAGGUCUUUCCGUUGGCAGUGCACAGGCACUGCAGGUGGCAUAUUAUUAAAAAGGCUGAGGAGACCCUAGGACCAUUUUUUUGCUGA